rnacentral:tRNA from 1 species
GGAGGUGUGGCUCAAGUGGUAGAGAACUUGCCAAGCAAGUACAAAGUCCUGAGUUCAAAUCCCAGUACUGCCA